GACGAACGCUGGCGGCGUGCUUAACACAUGCAAGUCGAACGGAAAGGCCCUGCUUGCAGGGUACUCGAGUGGCGAACGGGUGAGUAACACGUGGGUGAUCUGCCCUGCACUUCGGGAUAAGCCUGGGAAACUGGGUCUAAUACCGGAUAGGAGCCAUUUUUAGUGUGAUGGUUGGAAAGUUUUUUCGGUGUAGGAUGAGCUCGCGGCCUAUCAGCUUGUUGGUGGGGUAAUGGCCUACCAAGGCGGCGACGGGUAGCCGGCCUGAGAGGGUGGACGGCCACAUUGGGACUGAGAUACGGCCCAGACUCCUACGGGAGGCAGCAGUGGGGAAUAUUGCACAAUGGGCGCAAGCCUGAUGCAGCGACGCCGCGUGGGGGAUGACGGCCUUCGGGUUGUAAACUCCUUUCGCUAGGGACGAAGCUUUUUGUGACGGUACCCAGAUAAGAAGCACCGGCUAACUACGUG
rnacentral:rRNA from 1 species